AGUAACGCGUGAGGAACCUGCCUCAAAGAGGGGGACAACAGUUGGAAACGACUGCUAAUACCGCAUAAGCCCACGGCUCGGCAUCGAGCAGAGGGAAAAGGAGCAAUCCGCUUUGAGAUGGCCUCGCGUCCGAUUAGCUAGUUGGUGAGGUAACGGCUCACCAAGGCGACGAUCGGUAGCCGGACUGAGAGGUUGAACGGCCACAUUGGGACUGAGACACGGCCCAG
rnacentral:rRNA from 1 species